rnacentral:lncRNA from 1 species
CCAUUUAAUUUAUAGACCAAAAACAAUUUUAAAUUAAUUUUUCAGUUCAAAAGGACUUUUUUGAAAACUUUCAAAAGUUUCAAGGACCAAAUCAUAAUUUGGCUUGCAAAUUCAUCUUCUUCCUUAGAACAACCCUAGCCCCCGUAUGAGGUUUCAGCACUUCUGUCAUCCAGUCCAGCCACCGGAGGGACGAGCAACAUUGCAUUCCCGUCGGUUCCCCGUCCGCCGCUAAUCGAACGCAAGGUCGAUGGCAUCGCAAAGGAAGCCGCGAUAUCCCGCAACAAACAGUAGCUUCAACCCGCGACAUCGCGAGAGCCGCUAUCCUUCAGCUCCCGCCGCCAUUUGUCGACCCGCAGAUCGCGUAACGGUUGCGCGUCCGCUGCCGACAAAAGCAGCGCUGGAAAGUCCUUAAUCUUCUUCGUCGACGAGAAUCGAGAAGGCGAAUGUUUUCUCCUCUCGGUUCCACCGGCGACCAGCGCCUCGGUUCCAGCUUUCCCGCGAUAUCGAGGAUGCCCGAUGAUGAUCUCAGCAGCCACAGAUACUGCAGCUUCGCACGGCACAUGUGCAUCGCUAUGAUGCCCGUCGUCGGACCGUCGAGCUGUCACCGGGCGUUCUAGCAGCUGCAGAUCAUGUUCCAAGAUUUCCAGAAAUCGAUGAUUUUUAUUUUUUAUUUUUUAAUCAAAAAUUAAAACUAUUUUAAUUUCUAACAUAAAUU